UACGAAGGGUGCAAACGUUGCUCGGAAUUACUGGGCGUAAAGCGCGUGUAGGCGGCUAUGCAAGUCGGAUGUGAAAGCCCUCGGCUCAACCGGGGAAGUGCACCCGAAACUGCAAGCUAGAGUCUCGGAGAGGAUCGUGGAAUUCUCGGUGUAGAGGUGAAAUUCGUAGAUAUCGAGAGGAACACCGGUGGCGAAGGCGGCGAUCUGGACGAUGACUGACGCUGAGACGCGAAAGCUAGGGGAGCAAACGGG
rnacentral:rRNA from 1 species